AAUCGCCUGGUCGCCGUCAGGUGCCGGCCCAGGUGGCAGGCGCGCCCGUUGGGCACUGGGGGACGCGGGCGCGUCAGGUGAAGACUGGGGGCUGCAGGCGCGCUAGGAGAACUAUGCCAUUUUUGGGUCAGGACUGGAGAUCUCCUGGAUGGAGUUGGAUUAAGACAGAAGAUGGCUGGAAGAAUUGUGAAUCUUGUAGUCAGAAACUUGAAAGAGAGAAUAACCAUUGUAACAUCAGUCACAGCAUUAUCUUAAAUAGCGAAGAUGGAGAAAUACUCAAUAAUGAAGAGCAUGAAUAUGCAUCCAAAAAAAGAAAAAGGACCAUUUUAGAAAUGACACAAAUACUCAAACUGAUCCAUAUGAAUUCCUCUUAUUAAGAAAAAUAAAGCAUCCAGGAUUCAAUGAAGAACUGACUAUCACCUUGUUAAUCAUUCAGAAACAUGUUGCAGACUUAAGCCAUUUUUGAUAUAGAUACUGAAACAAUUACUUGCUAAGAGCAAACUUGAAGUAACAAUUUGGACAAGACAGCAAAUGCUAUUGUCGAAGUUUUCUAAAGAAGAAUCUGAAGUGAAAUGACAUCAAGAGACCUAUCAAGACCUGUAUCCAGGAAAAGACCAAACCAAUGCAGACCAAACCAAUGCAGAACUCCUAUGUGCUGAUGGUGGUCUUACAUUUCCCUAAGUUUCUGCCGACUAAACUGUGCACACGUUCUCAGGACCUCCUGAAGCUGCGUCACAGGCACUAAUCAAAGA
rnacentral:lncRNA from 1 species